CUUGAACAACACAAUGGGUAGGGGUACUGAUCCCUUGCACAAUAAAAACCCAGCAUAUACCUUUUGACUCCCCAAAAUGUAAACUAAUCACCUGCAGGUGACCAGAAGCCUUACUAAUAACAGCAACUGUCAAUUAACAUACAUUUUGUGUAUUAUAUACAUUUAUAUUCUAUAUUCCUACAAUAAAAUAAGCUAGAGAAAAGAAAACGUUAUUAAGAAAAAUCAUAAUACUUAACUAUUUAUUAAGUGAAAGUAGGUCAUCAUAAAGGACUUCAUCCUUUUCCUCAAAUUUAUAGACUGAAUAGUAGGAGGAGGAGGAAGAGGAGAGUUGGUCUUGCUAUCUCAGGAGUGGCUGAGGUGGAAAAAAAUCUGAAUACAAGUGGACCUGCAAACCUGUGUAGCUCACAGCCCGAGUACAAAACUGGUGUACAAAUAUCACAAAGAGUGGGAAAAAGAAUGAAUGCUGCCUGCUUAUGUCGCAAGGGUGGUAGAAGCCUGGUAGAAGGGGACAAGAGAGUACCUCAGGGAGCUGGCUGGCAAAAAGAGCAAGGAAUUAUCUGAAACAGGAAUGUGAG